CCGACAACCACAUUGCCAGACCGUGACUCUGGAAGGGAAAGAGGUACAGGGGCUACGUGAUUCCGGCGCUACCUUAUCUUUGGUUGCACCGCAUUUGGUGUCAGGAUCAGCACAUACCGGGGGAUCGGUAGCAGUCCGGGUAGCAGGGGGUGCCAUGUACCGGCUACCAACUGCCAAGGUACAUCUGAAUUGGGGUGCGGGGGAAGGUAUGGUGG